rnacentral:rRNA from 1 species
AGUCGAACGGCAGCACAGCAGUAGCAAUACUGUGGGUGGCGAGUGGCGGACGGGUGAGGAAUACAUCGGAAUCUACCUUGUCGUGGGGGAUAACGUAGGGAAACUUACGCUAAUACCGCAUACGACCUACGGGUGAAAGCGGCGGACCGCAAGGCGUCGCGCGAUUGGAUGAGCCGAUGUCCGAUUAGCUAGUUGGCGGGGUAAGAGCCCACCAAGGCGACGAUCGGUAGCUGGUCUGAGAGGAUGAUCAGCCACACUGGAACUGAGACACGGUCCAGACUCCUACGGGAGGCAGCAGUGGGGAAUAUUGGACAAUGGGCGCAAGCCUGAUCCAGCCAUGCCGCGUGUGUGAAGAAGGCCUUCGGGUUGUAAAGCACUUUUGUUGGGGAAGAAAAGCUUUCGGUUAAUACCCGGGAGUUCUGACGGUACCCAAAGAAUAAGCACCGGCUAACUUCGUGCCAGCAGCCGCGGUAAUACGAAGGGUGCAAGCGUUACUCGGAAUUACUGGGCGUAAAGCGUGCGUAGGUGGUUCGUUAAGUCCGUCGUGAAAGCCCCGGGCUCAACCUGGGAAUGGCGAUGGAUACUGGCGGGCUAGAGUGCGGUAGAGGAGAGUGG